AGAUCAUGUUUCAAGGGAUGCUGCUCUGUGGGUAGCUGUUGGAAAUCAUCUGUGCUGACGUGUGGUGUUUGGCUGAUACAAUCCACAAUCAUAGGAAGCCGCCUUACGUCCAGCUCCCGUAUAAGGUGCUGGACCCCUGCGGAGCCUGCCUCUUGCCAUGAAGCAGGCACUGAAACUGGAGCUCAAUGGGGAGGCCCUGCCUCCACUGCUAGAACAUAUGGACGCUAGCUGGACUCCUGCAUUUGAGAAGGGAACGCAGGAAGCUGUCUUAGACCAGGAUCUUUGCAUAAAAGAAGACGAACGUCUCUGGGGGAAAGAGUGUGACCUAACCAUCUGCAGUGUGCUCUACGUGGGGAUGACCUUGGUCGGAAAGCUGCAGCUAAUGCAAAAUGUGAUGGCUCCACUGAUCACUGGGGCAAGAUAUCGAUGACGUUAUGCCACUGCAAAAAAAAUUGCAUUGGCUGCCAAUUAACUACUGGGCUAAGUUCAAUGUGCUGGUCCUAUACACUCCUAUACAGCUUGGGACCAGGAUAACUAAAAGAACAUCUCACCCCUUAUAUACCAAAUUGAUCACUGCGCUCUGCAGGUGAGGGCCUCCUGCAGGAGCCAUCUCAUUAGGAGGUCUGUUGUGCACAACACAAGAAUUGGGCCUUUAGUGUUGUGCCACCUACCCUUUGGAAUUCCCUCUUUAACAGGUGCCAUCUCUGUCGUCCUCUUGACACCUACUGAAGACCUUCCACUUCCAACAAGUCUUUUCAGUAGAGAUCUUUCCCAGUCUGCAUCAAUACUGGAUUGUUUUUAGGUAUUUUUAGAUGUUUUAUCAUUAGUGUGUUUGCUGGCUUUGGGAAGAAGGGUGGGAUAUAAAUUUAAAUAAUAAUAAUACCUGACAUGCCAGUUUUCUAUAUGCAGGCUUUUGAGGUGGGGUGGAGUGGGACAUUCUAAUGCUAAGGCCAAGAAACAACUUUGAGGCUAUGUCUUAUUCAGCAAAUGUUGAUAGUUAGGGCACACUGGACCCCUACACUCUUCCAAACUCUAGGAAUAAUCCCCACUGAUUAUUGCUGAAAAUGUGCACACCACACACACCUCUUAUAUGGAUUGAAGUUUGUAUCAGGAUAAAUAGCUCCUCGUAAACAUUUGAGAGGAUCUAAGCCAUUAUUAUUAUUGUUGUUGUUAUUGUUGUUAUUAUUAUUAAAUUUUAUUUAUACCCCGCCUUUCGGCCAAAGGCCCUCAAGGUGGCUUACAAAGGAAAACAAACACAGGUAUAAAAAUACAAUAAAAGCAAUACAAUUUACAAAAAUUAAAUAAAAUAACGAAUAACAUUAUCAUUAUCGGCACCACCAAGAAGGAGGAGGUGGUGUUAGCGGGGGUGGCAGCUCCCGAGAGGCAGAAGGGUGACAGGCAUUUGUUACAGCAAAGCUGUUUGCUGUUUCAAUGUUGUCUUCCUCUCCAUGUCCUUGGGCUCGCUCCCCGGGCUAUUUGGCUGGACCCUAACUGACUGGCCCCACAUGCGUAAGAACACAACUGUACCCUUAGUUAUUGGAAGUGUAACUCCCCAGGAAUCCACGAGAGAUGGCCUAAUGAAAUGCUAACACAAGCAGCCUCAGAGCAGUUGAGAUACACGAUCCCUAGAAAAAGGUGUGCAUUUGGGGUGGAUUUUUGCAGCUGUACAUGGUCUAUAGAUUGCCCUCUUCCACAAAAGAAGAGGAAGUAAACUGGAUAAAUUUAAGCAAUUGGUAAGAAGGCCUUUGUACGACAGUGAUAAAUUAUAUGUGAUUAUGUGAUGUGUGUACGCAUGCAUGCACACACACAUUACAGAAACACAAACAUACGCACAGUAUGUUUCUCUCUUGCUGCAUUUCAGCCUUCGCUAAGCUGGUGCCCUCCUGUUGUUUUGCACUACAACUCCCAACAACCCCAGCCAGUGGAGAAAUAGGCACGGGAAAAUGGGGUUCAUUUGUUCACAUAAAAAUAACCAAAAAUAUUUCAUUAAAAUGUCAAUUUAAAAAGCCACCACAGAAAUAUUGUAGGUUUGCACACAAGCACACCCACCUGGUCACCUACAGUGGAUAGCAGCAACACUGUCCAGUCUUACAGAAAUCUGGCUCUCCUGUGGUCUUUUGGACCACAAAUGCAAAACAUAGGUGUGCACAGGCAGUCAGGCUAGUAACAUCUGUAGCUUUAUAUGCAAUGAGGAAGGACUGCCUACGUGCCAUGAGCUUCUGAAGGACACCUUAUGAGUGCAAACGAGUUGAGCGGUUUCAAAGCCAUUUAAAAAAUCAAGACAAUAUGCUUUGCUAUUCAUCUGGCAUAGUAUUUCCAUUGCUCGAAAAUGUUCAAUGCCUGCUCACAUCCUGUGUAUCAAUUCUACUUACUGCAGGAGAAAAUGUAUGGAGGGCAAGCUAUUACAAACACAAAUGUAGGCUACUCAAAAAGGAUUUUAGUAGGACAAAAGAAUGCUAUUUGAAACUCAAGGACAGUAGAAAAAGCAUUUCUUCAGUAUGUUACAUACAAUGGCUUGGAUUUAAAAAAAAACAAACAAACAGAAGGAGACUAUGUAUUAGUGCUGCUCCCUGAACUCUUGAGCAAGCACUACCGGAAAGCUUCUUGCAGGACAGCACCACCUACGAAGAUGCCUUAAAUCUAGUUGGAACACUGGUCCAUCUAGACCAGCAUUAUCUACACCAAGAGUCACCAAUCUUGUGCAAUGAGUGCCACUCCCUCUGGUCACUUCUCCAUCCCUCUCCCAGAUCAGCUCCCACCUACGGGGGGGGAGGGGGAGGGAGUGCACAUGUGCUCAUUUCAUUUUCCAUGGAAUCUGGGGACAAAUUGGAUCCAGAAGAACUAAUCUGAGCCUUGAAAAACACACAUAAAGUGGGAAAGGAUGUAACUUUUCCAACUUCCUCCUUACAUAGGAAGCUGCCUUACACCGAAUUGGCUCCUAUAAUUUAAUAUUGUCUACACUGACUGACAGCGGAUCUCCAGGUUUUCAGAAGUCUCUCAGCCCUACCAGGAGAUGCCAAGUUUUGAACCUGGGACCUUCUGCAUGCAAGUCCAAUGAGCUGCCACUGAGCCAUCUUCCCCUCCUUCAGCUAUACGUACUUUGCAAGGGAGAAAAAGGUAACCAUCCACACCACCAAUGGCACAAUGGUGGUGGUGGAGGCUCAGAGGCUUCAUGGAUGCCAGGAGAAGGCUACAUCAGCAACCCCUGGUCUACACAGGCUGGCAGCAACUCUCCAAAGUAUCAGCCAGAAAGAGUUCUUUCCUGGUCAUGCUGCCUUACAAAGAGAGGUCAGGUAUUGGUCUUGGCACCUUCUACAUGCAAAGCUUGUGUUCUUCCAUUAUAGCUCCUUGUGAUGUUCCUGAUUUGUAAUGUAAAUAUGGUAGGUGCUGGUAUAAUAUAAGACAUAUGGUAAGUGGAGUGAAAGAGGAGGGGGAGUACAUGGGCUGUAGAAUGAUGGAUGAUUGGCUGAGUGUUUGAAUGGCUGGGAGUAUAAAUGGAAGGAUGACAGUUGAAUGUGGGUGGUUGUUGUUGGUGGAGAGGUUGGUGUGGAGAGUAUAAGGUGGCUGUUGAGAGAGUGAAACAGGAGUUCUGAGGCAAUUAUUAGGAAGCAGAAGUACAUAAGAAAACAUAUAUGAAACCAUAAGCUUGUCAACAAAGUAAUUAAGUAAUCUUGCUAUUUUUAGUGUUCAAUAAAUAUUUCUUGG